rnacentral:rRNA from 1 species
UAGGGAAUCUUCGGCAAUGGACGAAAGUCUGACCGAGCAACGCCGCGUGAGUGAAGAAGGUUUUCGGAUCGUAAAACUCUGUUGUUAGAGAAGAACAAGGACGUUAGUAACUGAACGUCCCCUGACGGUAUCUAACCAGCAAGCCACGGCUAACUACGUGCCAGCAGCCGCGGUAAUACGUAGGUGGCAAGCGUUGUCCGGAGUUAUUGGGCGUAUAGCGAGCGCAGGCGGUUUCUUAAGUCUGAUGUGAAAGCCCCCGGCUCAACCGGGGAGGGUCAUUGGAAACUAGGAGACUUGAGUGCAGAAUAGGAGAGUGGAAUUCCAUGUGUAGCGGUGAAAUGCGUAGAUAUAUGGAGGAACACCAGUGGCGAAGGCGGCUCUCUGGACUGUAACUGACGCUGAGGCUCGAAAGCGUGGGGAGCAAACAGG